UAUCUUAUAGUUUAAAGGUAGAACACUAUGCUUCUAACGUAGUUAUUUAGGUUCGAAUCCUAAUAAGAUAA
rnacentral:tRNA from 1 species